CUAGUGAACAUACAUCUACUGUGCCAUGCACAUCAAGACAACCUGUGUGUUCCAGCCCCUCUUUACCCACACUCACAGUUUCCCAGCGACAAAUAUUUAAACCAUCUCGUUUUGGUGGAAAGCAUGUCGCUGCAGCAAAACCAGUGCUUAGUCAGGCCAGGCCUCCAACUAAGGAUCAUGCCACUGACACUACUACAGCUGGCCCACCUGCAUUCACCAGUCCUGCUGUUGCCAGGGCCACAUCCACUGCCCUGCAGCAAUCAUGCAGUCCCAAGACUUACAUCCAGACCACAUCCCCUUUUUCCUUGCCUCCUUCU